CCCAGUUGCUGCCUUAGCAAUAUAAAUUCAAUCAUAUUUCCUGAAUGAGUGAAGCAUUAGAAGUAAAUGCUGGAGGCCGGGCAUGGUGGCUCACGCCUGUAAUCCCAGCACUUUGGGAGGCCGAAGCAGGUUGAUCAACUGAGGUCAGGAGUUCGAGACUAGCCUGGCCAACAUGGUGAAACCCCAUCUCUACUAAAAAUAGAAAAAAAAUAGGCGGGCAUGGUGGCGGGCACCUGUAAU
rnacentral:lncRNA from 1 species